rnacentral:tRNA from 1 species
GGCGUGAUAGCUCAUUCGGUUAGAGCGUCGGAUUCAUAACUCGGAGGUUGGGGGUUCAAUCCCCCCUCACGCUACUA